rnacentral:rRNA from 1 species
AUGGACGAGGUGAUGCGGAUCGACGUCGAGGCCGCGGCGAUGUACAAGAUGAAGAUGGCCGGGAUGGACGAGGUGAUGCGGAUCGACGUCGAGGCCGCGGCGAUGUACAAGAUGAAGAUGGUGGCGAUGGCGAGUGUACGGGCCUUCCCCGCUCGAUUCGGUCCUCGGGAUGGACGAAGUGGACCGUGGCAGUCCUUCUGGGCGUCUUCUCGCGGUGCGGGGAGCACGGUGGUCGCGGCCAUGGCGACGGCAGCAUCGGUUUCACGCGAGGAGAAGAGAGAGAGCGAGGGAAAGGGGGAAGUGGGGGGCUAG